rnacentral:rRNA from 1 species
UCGAGCGAACAGACGUAGGAGCUUGCUCCUCUGACGUUAGCGGCGGACGGGUGAGUAACACGUGGAUAACCUACCUAUAAGACUGGGAUAACUUCGGGAAACCGGAGCUAAUACCGGAUAAUAUAUUGAACCGCAUGGUUCAAUAGUGAAAGACGGUUUUGCUGUCACUUAUAGAUGGAUCCGCGCCGCAUUAGCUAGUUGGUAAGGUAACGGCUUACCAAGGCAACGAUGCGUAGCCGACCUGAGAGGGUGAUCGGCCACACUGGAACUGAGACACGGUCCAGACUCCUACGGGAGGCAGCAGUAGGGAAUCUUCCGCAAUGGGCGAAAGCCUGACGGAGCAACGCCGCGUGAGUGAUGAAGGUCUUCGGAUCGUAAAACUCUGUUAUUAGGGAAGAACAAAUGUGUAAGUAACUAUGCACGUCUUGACGGUACCUAAUCAGAAAGCCACGGCUAACUACGUGCCAGCAGCCGCGGUAAUACGUAGGUGGCAAGCGUUAUCCGGAAUUAUUGGGCGUAAAGCGCGCGUAGGCGGUUUUUUAAGUCUGAUGUGAAAGCCCACGGCUCAACCGUGGAGGGUCAUUGGAAACUGGAAAACUUGAGUGCAGAAGAGGAAAGUGGAAUUCCAUGUGUAGCGGUGAAAUGCGCAGAGAUAUGGAGGAACACCAGUGGCGAAGGCGACUUUCUGGUCUGUAACUGACGCUGAUGUGCGAAAGCGUGGGGAUCAAACAGGAUUAGAUACCCUGGUAGUCCACGCCGUAAACGAUGAGUGCUAAGUGUUAG